rnacentral:lncRNA from 1 species
GUUUUAUGUCAUCAGUAAACUUGCCAAGGAUGGACUCUAUCCCUUCAUCCGGGUCACUGAUGAAGAUGCUGAACAAGACCAUACCCAACAGUGACCCCUAUGGAACACUGCUAGUUACAGGCCUCCAACCAGGCUGCCACUGAUGACAACCUUCUGAGCAAUUCCAGUCACCCAGUUCUCAACCCACUUCAGACUCUCUAUGUUUGCUGAAUGCAUUCAAAAACAACCAUUUUUUCUGUUUGUCUCUCUUAUAAUUCUGAUCUAAAAAGGAAAGAAAAUAGUCUAACCAGUGUCCUUAAAACUCAGGGCUUUCAGUGUCAGCUCUCUUAGCAGUAGAUUGGUUGUUACAAAGCUUAUUUUUGAGAAUAGUACUGAAUUGGGGUAUAAGUGAUGUGCAGAUAUAGACAGCAGUGCCUCAGUGGCAGAAACCUGGUAAGGUGAUGUAUUUGCAUGUCCUGCAAGCCCAAGCAAGGCCUUCUUGCCAGGGUUUGUGCAAAGAAUGCAGAGCAGCUCACUGACUUGUCUGACAGUUCAGGAACAGCUGGCGACUCCAGACCCCUGAAUACAGCUGUCCUUCAUAUUUGGGACAUGUUUCCUUUUCUGGUAGGUACACAUCCUAUGUGAUUCUCCUGUUCUGAAUGUUUGCUUUAAACACUUAAAAAGUUUUUGAUGUUUAAUAAGGGAUGGUGUGUGUGUAUGGGAGAGGCCUGGGGAGGUCGUAUCUGGAAACAUCUUAACCAUCUUCAAAUAGAAGAGAAGAUAAAUUCACUUUCUCUUCUGCUCCCUCACUGUUGAACAGUUCCUCCUCGACACUGCCAGGGGAAUGCUACUUUUUUUCUUCACUUCAAAUAGUUAAAUAAAUAAAAGCGGUGGCCCUGUUUACUAUCUCA